UACAGAGGUCCCAAGCGUUGUUCGGAUUCACUGGGCGUAAAGGGUGCGUAGGUGGUGAGGUAAGUCGGAUGUGAAAGCUCGGAGCUCAACUCCGAAAUGGCAUUGGAAACUACCUUGCUCGAGGGUUGGAGGGGGGACUGGAAUACUUGGUGUAGCAGUGAAAUGCGUAGAUAUCGGGAGGAACAUCUGUGGCGAAGGCGGCCACCUGGACCAACACUGACACUGAGGCACGAAAGCGUGGGGAGCAAACAGG
rnacentral:rRNA from 1 species